rnacentral:misc_RNA from 1 species
GAGUAGCUUUGGACCCGUGUCUGCCGGUAGAUCCCCCGUCUUAGUGCGGCCGACUACCGGCGCCGUGUCCCGUCCCUCCUGUGGCUUAUGCUGCUGUUGCCUUUCAAGUGCUUGCGUGCUGGUACCCGAACUACGGGUAGUGGUGCAUCGUACAUGGUUGCCUCACGGUGGACACCUUUGGGUGAUCUGCUGUGGCCUAAUGGCGGUUGCGGCGUUUCCUCGUGGUGCUAACACGCUUGCGCGCAAGGCACUAUCAAGGAAACCUUGCUCCCGCUGUUGGUCUCGGAUGUCGCUCACGAUAAAGUCUCUUGGCCCCUUUGGUUGCCUUGACCCGACCCUAAAGCAGCUCUCCGAAUUUGAGAACACCCGGAACAGGUGUUGCCUCUACCUCUCCACAGUUAGUGGUAGGAUACGCAACAUUCUGCGCCGAUCCUCAAUCAAGUAGGAUGAGCUUAGCUACCUCAAUCACGACAACCAGCUUGGUCGUUGCCUCAGCCUGGCUGCAUCUGUGGACGGGCGGGCAAAGACCGACGCUGGACGUCAAGAGGACGUGCUACCUGGUUGAUCCUGCCA